CACGUAGGGUGCAAGCGUUGUCCGGAAUUAUUGGGCGUAAAGGGCUCGUAGGCGGUCUGUCACGUCGGGAGUGAAAACUCGGGGCUUAACCCCGAGCCUGCUUCCGAUACGGGCAGACUAGAGGUAUGCAGGGGAGAAUGGAAUUCCUGGUGUAGCGGUGAAAUGCGCAGAUAUCAGGAGGAACACCGGUGGCGAAGGCGGUUCUCUGGGCAUUACCUGACGCUGAGGAGCGAAAGUGUGGGGAGCGAACAGG
rnacentral:rRNA from 1 species